AGAGGCUUCUUUCCCGUCCUCCCCCAUUCUUCUGGUACCGCCCUCAUCCCAUAAGAACCACAGAGAUAACCAAAGGCUAGACUGACAAAACAUGACUCUUUUCUUAUUCUUAUUUUGUAGAUUCCACCCCACCCACCCCCACAGAGGGGCCCAUGAAACCAGUGGAGAGAGGACUUCAAGCUCCAUUUCAGGCCCACCCACAGCUACAAGCAAAGCAUUACCAAUAAUCAGGCAAUCUUUCUGAAGAACUUUGAAAACAAAAUCAUGCUUUCAAGAUCUGAGACAAAAAAUAAGGAAUCCUAUGAGCUGCAAAGACAAAUCAACAGAAGAAUGUUGCUGUUGAAGCAAAUCCUCCCCCCACAACCCUUCUUACAUAACCUUCUGAUCUAGUCUGAGUUUGGAAAGUCACCUAGAAACUUAAAAGAAAACAAAGCUAGCAAUUUUUGCAAUUGUUUCUUUUAUACUAUAGGCACAUUGCUUCCCCACCCCCCGCCACCCAUUCCCUUCAGAAAGUAGGUUAUCUGGCCAACAGAGAUAAAGAUCUUGUUUAGUAAAUUCAUGGGUAACCAAAAUGAUCAGCACAUAAAGAUUGAAGGUUUUCGUUCCUUAAUGUAAAGGGGUAUGACAAAAAUAGGUGAAGAUCUAAACUGUGGCAAUGUUAUUUCUUUUCUAACAUCUUUAUGUAAACAGCCAUGCUAAAAUGACAUAGCUUUUUAAACUCUGAAGAUGUCAAGUCUGCUUUCUCAGGGCUUGUAUUUUUCCUCCUCCACUUGUACCCCUGCUAACCAGGCAAAAAGAGUCACUUUUUAAAUGUGGCAAUUCUCUUUAUUUAGCAGAGAGCAACUGGCCAUAUGCACCCACAGCACAGUACCCCUACAGUGACUGUUGCUGGUGUCUGUCUUAUGUUUCUUUUUAGAUUGUGAGCCUGUUGGGGACAGGGAUCCAUCUUAUUUAUUAUUUCUCUAUGUAAACCUCUUGGGAGACUUUUGUAAAAAGUGGUAUAUAAAUGUUGUAUGUUGUGAAUUUUAUUUUAUUUUAGCUUUUUACCUAAGGGUUAUGCAUCUAAUUUCAGCAAGAGUAUAAAUUUGCAUUUUUAAAAAUUGUUUCUAGUCAAUGACUCCCAAGUAUUCAUAAAGGCUGCCAUGUUUUUUAACAUAUAGGGAACAGUUCAGAUCAUGCUGUGAUUAUUAAUAUGCUCAGUGACAUGAUGUCACACACAUGUGUCUGUAAUCAUGUUUUGUUGCACUGUAAGACACAUUGUCAUUCUAUAACGCUGUCUUAUUUCUGGAGGAUUGUAUCAUUAAAUCUGUAAAUUCAGUUGAUAAAAUGUCUGUGGCGAUGAUGCAGAAGUGAAAUUUGCACAAGGGAGAAAAAUAAUAAAGAAUGCAAAAUAAA